rnacentral:rRNA from 1 species
AGCGAACGCUGGCGGCAGGCCUAACACAUGCAAGUCGAACGAAGUCUUCGGACUUAGUGGCGGACGGGUGAGUAACACGUGGGAACGUGCCUUUAGGUUCGGAAUAACUCAGGGAAACUUGUGCUAAUACCGAAUGUGCCCUUCGGGGGAAAGAUUUAUCGCCUUUAGAGCGGCCCGCGUCUGAUUAGCUAGUUGGUGAGGUAAAGGCUCACCAAGGCGACGAUCAGUAGCUGGUCUGAGAGGAAGAUCAGCCACAUUGGGACUGAGACACGGCCCAAACUCCCACGGGAGGCAGCAGUGGGGAAUCUUGCGAAAUGGGCGAAAGCCUAACGCAGCCAUGCCGCGUGAAUGAUGAAGGUCUUAGGAUUGUAAAAUUCUUUCACCGGGGACGAUAAUGACGGUACCCGGAGAAGAAGCCCCGGCUAACUUCGUGCCAGCAGCCGCCGUAAGAC